GACGAACGCUGGCGGCGUGCUUAACACAUGCAAGUCGAACGCUGAAGCUCAGCUUUUGUUGGGUGGAUGAGUGGCGAACGGGUGAGUAACACGUGAGUAACCUGCCCCCUUCUUUGGGAUAACGCCCGGAAACGGGUGCUAAUACUGGAUAUUCACUGGUCUUCGCAUGGGGGUUGGUGGAAAGGGUUUUUCUGGUGGGGGAUGGGCUCGCGGCCUAUCAGCUUGUUGGUGGGGUGAUGGCCUACCAAGGCUUUGACGGGUAGCCGGCCUGAGAGGGUGACCGGGCACAAUGGGACUGGGAUUCGGCCCAGAAUUCCACGGGAGGCAGCAGUGGGGAAUAUUGCACAAUGGGCGCAAGCCUGAUGCAGCGACGCCGCGUGAGGGAUGGAGGCCUUCGGGUUGUGAACCUCUUUCGCUCAUGGUCAAGCCGCAACAAUGGUUGUGGUGAGGGUAGUGGGUAAAGAAGCGCCGGCUAACUACGUG
rnacentral:rRNA from 1 species